GAUCAUGGCUCAGGAUGAACGCUAGCGACAGGCCUAACACAUGCAAGUCGAGGGGCAGCGGGGAGGUAGCAAUACCUUUGCCGGCGACCGGCGCACGGGUGAGUAACACGUAUGCAAUCCACCUGUAACAGGGGGAUAACCCGGAGAAAUCCGGACUAAUACCCCAUAAUAUGGGCUCUCCGCAUGGAGGGUCCAUUAAAGAGAGCAAUCUUGGUUACAGACGAGCAUGCGCUCCAUUAGCCAGUUGGCGGGGUGACGGCCCACCAAGGCGACGAUGGAUAGGGGUUCUGAGAGGAAGGUCCCCCACAUUGGAACUGAGACACGGUCCAAACUCCUACGGGAGGCAGCAGUGAGGAAUAUUGGUCAAUGGUCGGCAGACUGAACCAGCCAAGUCGCGUGAGGGAAGACGGCCCUACGGGUUGUAAACCUCUUUUGUCGGAGAGUAAAGUACGCUACGUGUAGUGUAUUGCAAGUAUCCGAAGAAAAAGCAUCGGCUAACUCCGUG
rnacentral:rRNA from 1 species